UGUAUAGUUUUCAUUUGCCUUCAAGUAGUUUUGACAGAAUCAAUUCGUGAUGAUUUCAGUUUGUGAAGUUUGGAACAAAUCACUGGCACUCCAUGGCUGUAUAAUAACAUUUGUCUUUAUGAUGUAUUUGAAAUUGCUAUUUGGGUGAUUGUUUAUUUUGUUAUUUUUUUUAGAAACAUAUUCCCGAAUGGAUUCAUAGAAAGUUGUAUUUCACACGAUCUCUAUGUGUAUACUGAAAUUCUAUCAUAGGAGGUUUAUGCUCUUGUAGUUGGUAUCAUGUUGGUAGCCUUGUCGGCAAAAUUGAGUUGUUAUAUGUAUUUUUGGAAUGUAGCUAAGAUAGUAAUUUUUGUAAUAGCAGACACGGCCAUCCGGGAAAUGAUACGAGGUAACUUUUUAUUUCCUUAUAUUUAUAUUUAUAGCUGAAACUUUAGAGUUUAAAACCACUUCUAUUUGUUUUAAGCAAGAACUUGCUCUGACUCUUGCUCUGUUUUCCAGAUGAAGUUAAUCAAUCUAUAAUUAUAAGGAUGAACAUGAUUGCUUUGUGGUUCCAUUUCUUUCAGCAGUCCAUUUAGAUGAGAAUGUAUACAGUGGAGAAAUUGGAGAACUAGUCCAUUCUAUGCACCCUUUGGAGGAGGGGCUAGAUUCUGUCCAGGAGCAGAGUUGGCUCGCAUAUAAAUUGCUUUUUUUUUCUUCAUUACUUCGUAACUACCUACAGGUAAUGCCCCUCUUUCUCUCUGGUAUUUGAGAAUGAGAAAUGCCUCCUCUUUAUUCUUUAUUCUUGAUGUCAUGUGUCCUACUUCUUAUCUAUUGUGUAUUUGGUUCAACUUUGAAAUGCAUUUUAUAACUUCAUGAUUUUGUUUGAUUUAACAUGAAAAUUUGAGAAUACUUUGUGAAGACAUAAGGCUCUCUCAGCAGUGAGAGUAUACACAAGUUUUAUUUCUUGCU